rnacentral:rRNA from 1 species
UACGGAGGGUGCGAGCGUUGUCCGGAAUCACUGGGCGUAAAGGGCGCGUAGGUGGCGCGGGCAGUCAACGGUGAAAGUUCGGGGCUCAACCCUGAAUCGGCCGUCGAUACUCCCGGGCUUGAGCACUGUAGAGGCAGAUGGAAUUCCGGGUGUAGCGGUGGAAUGCGUAGAGAUCCGGAAGAACACCGGUGGCGAAGGCGGCGCUCUGGACCGAGACUGACGCUGAGGCGCGAAAGCGUGGGGAGCAACAGGG